rnacentral:rRNA from 1 species
GGCCGCGGGAAUUCGAUUCAGGCCUAACCAUGCAAGUCGAGCGGUAGAGAGAAGCUUGCUUCCCUUGAGAACGGCGGACGGGUGAGUAAAGCCUAGGAAUCUGCCUGAUAGUGGGGGAUAACGUUCGGAAACGGACGCCAAUACCGCAUACGUCCUACGGGAGAAAGCAGGGGACCUUCGGGCCUUGCGCUAUCAGAUGAGCCUAGGUCGGAUUAGCUAGUUGGUGAGGUAAUGGCUCACCAAGGCGACGAUCCGUAACUGGUCUGAGAGGAUGAUCAGUCACACUGGAACUGAGACACGGUCCAGACUCCUACGGGAGGCAGCAGUGGGGAAUAUUGGACAAUGGGCGAAAGCCUGAUCCAAAAAGUGCCGCGUGUGUGAAGAAGGUCUUCGGAUU